rnacentral:rRNA from 1 species
UACGUAGGGUGCGAGCGUUUGUCCGGAAUUACUGGGCGUAAAGAGCUCGUAGGUGGUUUGUCGCGUUGUUCGUGAAAACUCACAGCUUAACUGUGGGCGUGCGGGCGAUACGGGCAGACUGGAGGACUGGAGAGGAGACUGGAAUUUACGGUGUAGCGGUGAAAUGCGUAGAUAUCGUAAGGAAGACCAGUGGCGAAGGCGGGUCUCUGGACAGUUCCUGACGCUGAGGCACGAAGGCCAGGGGAGCAAACGGG